rnacentral:rRNA from 1 species
UACGUAGGGGGCUAGCGUUGUCCGGAAUCAUUGGGCGUAAAGCGCGUGUAGGCGGUCCGGUAAGUCCGCUGUGAAAGUCGGGGGCUCAACCCUCGGAUGCCGGUGGAUACUGUCGGGCUUGAGUACGGAAGAGGCGAGUGGAAUUCCUGGUGUAGCGGUGAAAUGCGCAGAUAUCAGGAGGAACACCAAUUGCGAAGGCAGCUCGCUGGGACGUUACUGACGCUGAGGAGCGAAAGCGUGGGUAGCGAACAGG